ACGAAGGCCGGGACUGCAGCGUGAUUAAGACGUGGGGGGGAAGAGGGGUCCCGAAUGACGUGGAGGAAAGAUGAUUUGCGUGGUGUGACGAGACGUCGGGGAAAGUCCUGUGCUUAACUCCGGGCGUGCGGGCGGUACGGGCAUAACUUGAGUACUGUAGGGGAUAGUGGAAUUCCUGGUGUAGCGGUGAAAUGCGCAGAUAGCAGGAGGAACACCGGUGGCGAAGGCGGGUCUCUGAGCAGUAACUGACGCUGAGGAGCGAAAGCAUGGGGAGCGAACAGGAUUAGAUACCCCAGUAGUC
rnacentral:rRNA from 1 species